GACGAACGCUGGCGGCGUGCUUAACACAUGCAAGUCGAACGGAAAGGCCCUGCUUUUGUGGGGUGCUCGAGUGGCGAACGGGUGAGUAACACGUGAGUAUCCCGCCCUUGACUUUGGGAUAACUUCAGGAAACUGGGGCUAAUAUCGGAUAUGAGCUCUUGCUGCAUGGUGGGGGUUGGAAAGUUUCGGCGUUUGGGGAUGGACUCGCUGCUUAUCCGCUUGUUGGUGGGGUAGUUGCUUACCAAGGGUUCGACGGAUAGCCUGCCUGGGAGGGUGACCGGCCACAUGGGUACUGAGAUAGGGACCAGAAGGGUACGGGAGGCAGCAGUGGAGAAUAUUGCACAGUGAGCGGAAGCGUGAUACAGCAGCGCCGCGUGCGGGAUGACGGCCUUCGGGUUGUAAACCGCUUUCGCCUGUAACGAAGCGUGAGUGACGGUAAUGGGUAAAGAAGCACCGGCUAACUACGUG
rnacentral:rRNA from 1 species